rnacentral:rRNA from 1 species
GACGAACGCUGGCGGCGUGCUUAACACAUGCCAGUCGAACGGAAAGGCCCUGCUUGCAGGGUGCUCGAGUGGCGAACGGGUGAGUAACACGUGGGUGAUCUGCCCCUUACUUUGGGAUAAGCCUGGGAAACUGGGUCUAAUACUGGAUAGGACCAUGCUGUAGGUGGUGUGGUGGAAAGAUUAGUUUCGGUAAGGGAUGAGCUCGCGGCCUAUCAGCUUGUUGGUGGGGUAAUGGCCUACCAAGGCGUCGACGGGUAGCCGGCCUGAGAGGGUGGACGGCCACAUUGGGACUGAGGUACGGCCCAGACUCCUACGGGAGGCAGCAGUGGGGAAUAUUGCACAAUGGGCGCAAGCCUGAUGCAGCGACGCCGCGUGGGGGAUGACGGCCUUCGGGUUGUAAACUCCUUUCAGCCAUGACGAAGCCCUUGUGGUGACGGUAGUGGUAGAAGAAGCACCGGCUAACUACGUG